CCAAAGAGAAACCACAGAGUAUGCUCUCUUCAUUUUAAGGAAGGCAGACCAACAGAAAAUCAUCCAUACCCAGAGCUCUUUGCAUAUAAUAAUUUUAAGGAAAGUCUGAAGGUUUGUUUUGGUUUUGAUUGCUAAAACAUCCAAACGUUGGUAUCAUGAUUCAUCGAUCAAUUUCAUGGAUGUAUAUCGAGUGUCUUGUGUAUCAAGAUAUAUAGUCUAAAAACCUGCAUCAAAUUAGAUGGAAAAUGCUAAUUAUUUAUGAUAUAUUGUAGGAUUAAACACAAAAUUGAGAACUGUUUGAGCUUUGAACAUUUUAAUAAGUUGUUGAGUAUUUACAAUUUAGAGACACACAUGCUAGUCUUUAAUGCUUAUAAUUUGUUAUAUUUAGAUGCGUUCAACAACUUCAAUAUCUAAGAGAGAACAGUGUAUGGUAAAAGACACUCAGUUUGAUAUCUCAGUUCCUCCCCGAGUGGAUUCCCCGGCUGCCAGUGAAAGUGUACUUGUAUGUAAGAUUAUUUGCUGAUAUAAAUUAAGUAGCAAAACUUGUGCUCAAAUAUUUUUCAUUGUAGAUCAAUGAAAAUACUAGUAUUUCUGAUUAUUUAAAAUGUACUUUUGAAAGCAUGAUUUCAUUUAUUUUUCAUUUAAGUAUUAUUAUUUUUCAGCAAACACAGAUUAAUAAUGAUAAUUCAUUGUUUGUUGCUGGAGUCAGUGGAGAAUUGAAUGGAAGUUGGCCAGUUAAUCAAGAAAUUGAAGUGACUGAUCAUGAGUGUCCAACAGUUGGAUCUCUUUCUGUCACAGGUACUCAUGUAGAAAUGGACCACUGUUACAUCAGUGGCAGCUUUUGCAGUAAUGACAUGUCAACCAGAGAUAUAGGAAUCCAAACAACACUCACUACUGCAGAUAUCAAGGUUCUGGAGGAGAAAUCAACCAAACUUGAGGAUCCCGAGAAACUCAUGAGAGAACUUUUUGUCAACAAAGUUGUGAAAGAUGACAAAAAUGUACAAAUGUAUACUGGACUACCAUCGAAGACAAUCCUAAAUGGUGUAUAUGAUAUCUUGGAAAAGGCUUCACCAACAUUGAAGUAUUGGUCAGGACAAGGGAGUGCUGCAAAGAAAAAAUAUCAGAAAGACAGUCUAAAUGCAAAGUCAGGCCCAAAAAGGAAGCUCAGCAGAUUUCAGGAGUUUGUUUUAACUCUAGUCAGAUUGCGACUAGCUUUGACUACAUUUGUCAUGGCAGAUUUAUUUGGCGUAUCCACCUCCAGAGUUUCUCAAGUCUUCACCACCUGGAUCAAUUUCAUGUUUACAAUCUUUAAACCUUUAUUAAAAUGGCCUUCCAGAAAUGUAUUGAAAAAAUUCAUGCCUUCAUCUUUCAGAGCUAAGUUUCCAAAUGUAAAUUGUAUUAUUGACUGUACUGAAUUUUUCAUUAAGAAACCAAGAAAUCCAACUGCUCAGUCUCAGACAUUUAGCUCUUAUAAACAUCAUAAUACUUAUAAAGCAUUGGUUGGUGUGUCACCUUCUGGUGCAUUUUCAUUUAUAUCAAAUUUGUGGGGAGGCAAUGUUUCUGAUAGGUACAUCACUAAGGAAAGUGGAUUCCUGGACAACAUACAACCUGGAGAUGAGAUAAUGGCAGACAGAGGGUUUUUGAUUAGGGAUCUUUUGCUUCAUCGCAGAGCUAAACUUAUAAUACCCCCAUUCACAAGGAAGUGUUCCUGGGGUAAAGGUAAAUAUCUGUCUGCCUCUGAAAUUCUAAGAACAAGGAACAUUGCAAAAUUCCGCAUCCAUGUAGAGAGGGCUAUAGGAAGAUUAAAAACAUUUCAUAUGCUGUCCAAUACCAUGCCAACAAAUUUAAAACCCCUUGCUGAUCAAAUGCUUGUCAUAUGUGCAUUUCUUUGUAAUCUUCAAAAGCCUUUGGUCAAAAAGUAAGGAAUUGAUGUCCCAUGGUGGAAUGUUUUACUUUACUUAUAGAUGACACCUGUGUUCAGAAAUAUUUUUUAUUGUGUUCACUUCUUAUAUAAAAUACAUGUAAUAGAACUUCAAUGUAACAAGUAACAUAAAUUUCUUGAAUGAUAAUCAAAUAAAAUCUAAGAAAAUUGU
rnacentral:misc_RNA from 1 species